GCAGUAGCCGCGGUAAUACGGAGGGGGCUAGCGUUGUUCGGAAUUACUGGGCGUAAGGCGCACGUAGGCGGCUUGGUAAGUUAGAGGUGAAAGCCCGGAGCUCAACUCCGGAAUUGCCUUUAAGACUGCCGAGCUAGUAGGUGAUAGAGGUAAGUGGAAUUCUGAGUGUAGAGGUGAAAUUCGUAGAUAUUCGGAAGAACACCAGUGGCGAAGGCGGCUCACUGGACGCGUAUUGACGCUGAGGUGCGAAAGCGUGGGGAGCAAACAGGAUUAGAUACCCCCGUAGUCCCUGUCUCUUAUAC
rnacentral:rRNA from 1 species